AACGCGAAGAACCUUACCUGGUCUUGACAUCCUACGGACAUUCCCAGAGAUGGAUUUGUGCCUUCGGGAACCGAGAGACAGGUGCUGCGUGGCUGUCGUCAGCUCGUGUCGUGAGAUGUUGGGUUAUGUCCCGCAACGAGCGCAACCCUUGUCCUUAUUUGCCAGCGCUUAAUGGUGGGCACUCUAGGGAGACUGCCGGUGACAAACCGGAGGAAGGUGGGGAUGACGUCAAGUCAUCAUGGCCCUUACGAUGGGGGCUACACACGUACUACAAUGGUGGGGACAGAGGGGUGCAAACCCGCGAGGUGGAGCCAAUCCCAAAAACCCUCUCUCAGUCCGGAUUGCCGUCUGCAACUCGACUACCUGAAGUCGGAAUCGCUAGUACUCGCAGAUCAGCAUGCUGCGGUGAAUACUUUCCCGGGCCUUGUACACACCG
rnacentral:rRNA from 1 species